UACGUAGGGGGCAAGCGUUGUCCGGAUUUACUGGGCGUAAAGAGCGUGUAGGCGGCCACGCAGGUCCGUUGUGAAAACUGGAGGCUCAACCUCCAGCUGUCGACGGAAACCGUAUGGCUAGAGUCCGGAAGAGGAGAGCGGAAUUCCUGGUGUAGCGGUGAAAUGCGCAGAUAUCAGGAGGAACACCCGUGGCGAAGGCGGCUCUCUGGGACGGUACUGACGCUGAGACGCGAAAGCGUGGGGAGCGAACAGG
rnacentral:rRNA from 1 species